rfam:Dipodomys ordii contig_39765, whole genome shotgun sequence.
GGUGGCUCAGUGGUAGAGUGCUUGCCUUGCAUGUAUGAGGCUCUGGGUUCAAUUCCUCAGCACCA